AAAAAACUCUUCUAGCUGCAAGAUCAUGUAACUUGCUCUUGAAGCAUAAGGUGUUCUUCCCUUACUCUUCAAUAUGGAUCCUUGCAUACCAAGAGCUCCUUUCAACAAAUCUUUUGUAAUAUUUUAAGAUUGUUCAUCAUAACUCAGACUUGUACACUAUGAGCCAAGCAUGUUGUUUAACCUUUGACCCCUUCUUGAUACCUCCAUUGCAUUAACACAUUUCCCAUUCACAUCACUUCUCCUUAUCAACAUCCUUCUUGUUCUUGACUUUCUUGGGUAAUAUCUCUUCUUGGAUGGUGUCUCCAAUUGAAAUUUUGUAUAUUCAACCUCCCAGUCCAUUAUACGCCAUGAAGAAGAAGACGAUGAAUACUGUUUUGGGUCUUUGGUUCUCCCUCUCCACGUGUUAGAAAUGAUAGCAGCCUUUUCUUGAGCUUCCAUUCUUUUCUUUUCCUU
rnacentral:lncRNA from 1 species